UAAAAUCACAACCAUGAGCACGUGUCUGUGAAAUAAACAAGCUGUUGAAGGACACGUGAUGGGCUGCUCCUGAGGCUUUUCCAUGAUUAUUCACACGGGACUUGUUCCUUCGCCUUGCCAUCUGUGGGCUCUCACUAGAGAUAGGCAGAGCUGUGAGUGCCAAAGGUUUAACAAAAAUUGAUGGGAAAAACUUAACAUUGAGAAAAUUGUAUCUUUGAGCAUAAUUUGGACAAGCUUCCACUAUUCUAUUUUAGUGAAGGAACAUUUCUUUCCAACUUCGGAGUGCCACUGAAGUUCAGUCUGCAGGGAGAGCUGGGUUGGGUGCUGGGGUUAGGGUGGGAGUAGGUGGGAUGGGGUGGGGGUGAGGGAGGUGAGUUUGGAGGAAGUUGGGUAGGGGCUGUGUAUUGGGGAUCUGAGGAAUUUGGGUCUGAUUCUUCAAGCCAUGGUAAGUUGUAGAGUAAAGGAGUGACAAAUGGAAGGGGGAAAUUUGGGAACGACAAACCUGAUGAGGGUGAAGGGUAGGUUGAAGUGCAUCAUAGCAGAGAGGUGAGAGAAAGAGAGCACAGACCUGGCUGAAGAGAUGGGGGAUCAGAAAAAGCAUUCUUCAGAUGCCUUCUUGUCCCGGCUCAGAACACCCCAAAGCUCAGAGGAACAGGACUGGGUUCACAAGGAAGAACAGGGAAGCUGUCUGGGCUAUCAACACUCUUCAGUGUCUUGGAAUCAACCCAGCAUGUCCUGCUGCUGCUGCUUUCUGCCUCUGCUAGCUUGGAUCCGCCUGUGAAAAGGGACGGGGUUGGGCUAAGGCAACGUUGAAACAUUGCAUUCCUCUGCCAGAAGCUUAAAAACCCUGCAAUCAAACCCGAGGCCCUAUGCGGAAACAAGUGUAUCCGAUGACAGCUUAUUAUGGAAGGUUCUGAACUUCUAAGAAUUCCUUAGUAGGAGACAAACAAAAUACAAAGAUAUCCUCCUAAUUUUCUGCGACUGGGAAUUUUUGUUUUUCUCUUCCUCACUUCUCCCAUCCAUUCUGCAUGUUUGUUAAAAUGUAGGCACACAGGGUCCACGGUGUGUGGUACUUGAGUGGGCAAAAGGCUAGUUCAGCUGGCCAGCGAGGCAGACAAGACGUGGUUCAACACACGCAUUGCUGGGAGCUGGGACUUCUCCUUCAUUAGUUAAACAUGGGCAUGAAGUAAAGAUUUCUGGUGUGUGUGUCUGUGUGUUUUCAAACGGCAGGUUCAGCACUUCUAAGUACAUAGCAUGAUAGGAAGAGAAGUCUGUAAUCACCUCUCAUGUCUGGGGUCCUGAUGGGCCCAGAGCAGAUUUGAUUUACGUUAUCUUCAAGCGGGAAACUUGUCAUCCAGUCUUCAUUUGCCCUUCUCUCUGGGCAGGAAAGAGCUCCAUUUUUCCCGCUCCACAGAGGACAUUUUAUUUUUGCAGUUCUUUGAAGUGCCCUCAGAGAUCUAAGCACCAGGCUGAAGGCAGCUCUGUGUAUCCUUGCAACAGAUUAGAACAUAUUCACAUUUUAUUUGCUCACAGAACAAAUAUUUCCCUUGGAAUGAGACCGAGGCAGUGGAGCAGGACCAGGCAGGACCAGCCACCAAAGACGGCCCCCCAGGCCCCAUGCUGGGCCUGCUCAGCGCCUGCACAAUUGGUUCCACAUAAUUGCUUCUCCACACUCACCUCAUUUAGGCCCUAUAGACACAUAUGGGCUGAUUAGUUGAGUCAUUUAUUGAUUCAGGAAUAUUUGUCGAGCCUCAACAAUGUACCAAACACUAUGCUGGUUACAGAAAUAAAGAGAGAAACACAUUCUGUCCUCAAGGGGCUCCUAAUCAAGUAGGGGAGAGAAGCAAUGUCUGUAUAUUAAUGAAUCAAAUCAAGGUGACAAAGAUAAGGCUUCAGAACCCAGGAGACAAAGUGUUUGAGGUAGGUCAUUAUUCUGUCUGUGUGUUGCGGGGUGUGUGGGCAAGGGUGAGGCGUGUGGGGUGGUGUGGAUAUGGUGUGCAUGGGCCUCUGUGUGUGUAGGUUAUGUGUAUGUGGUGUGUGUGGUGUGGGGAGUGUGUUUGUGUAUGGGAGUGUGUAUGUGUCUGUGGUGACAGUGGUGAAUAUGUGUGUGGGUAUGGUAGUGAUGGUACUAGGUGGUGUUUAGUGCAUGUCCUGUGAGAAUUGUGUGUAGGUAUAGGGAUGUGUGUGUAUAGUGGUGAUGGUGGUGUGUGGUGUGGGGGGGUGUGUGUGGUGGAGAGAGUGUGUGUAUGAGAGUGUGUAUGUAGUGAGUGAUGGUGGUGAAUGUGUGUAGUGGUGAUGGUGGUGUUUGUGUGGUGUGGGGUGUGUGUGUGUAGUGGUGAUGGUGGUGUUUGUGUGGUGUGGGGGGUGUGUGUGUGUGGUGAGUGGUGGUGAAUGUGUGUGUAGUGGUGAUGGUAUGUGUGGUGUGGGGGGUGUGUGUGGGGGGUGAGUGGUGGUGGUGUAUGUUUGGUGUGUGUGGUGUGUGUGUGUGGUGAGUGGUGGUGAAUGUGUGUGUGUAGUGGUGACGGUAUGUGUGGUGUGGGGUGAGUGGUGAUGGUGGUUGUGUGGUGUGUGUGUGUGUGUGUGGUGAGUGGUGGUGAAUGUGUGUGUGUAGUGGUGACGGUAUGUGUGGUGUGGGGUGAGUGGUGAUGGUUGUGUGGUGUGUGUGUGUGUGUGUGUGGUGAGGUGGUGGUAAAUGUGUGUGUAGUGGUGAUGGUAUGUUUGUGUGGUGUGGUGUGUGUGUGUGUGGAGUGGUGGUGAAUGUGUGUGUGUAGUGGUGAUGGUAUGUGUGGUGUGGGGGUGUGUGUGUGUGUGGUGAGUGGUGGUGGUGAAUAUGUGUGUGUAGUGGUGAUGGUGGUAUGUUUGUGUGGUGUGUGUGUGGUGUGGGGUGUGUGUGUGUGGUGAGUGGUGGGGUGGUGGUGAAUGUGUGUGUAGUGGUGAUGGUAUGUUUGUGUGGUGUGGUGUGUGUGUGUGUGGAGUGGUGGUGAAUGUGUGUGUGUAGUGGUGAUGGUAUGUGUGGUGUGGGGGGUGUGUGUGUGGUGAGUGGUGGUGGUGAAUAUGUGUGUGUAGUGGUGAUGGUGGUAUGUUUGUGUGGUGUGUGUGUGGUGUGGGGUGUGUGUGUGUGGUGAGUGGUGGGGUGGUGGUGAAUGUGUGUAGUGGUGAUGGUGGUGUUUGUGUGGUGUGGGGGGUGUUUGUGUGGUGUGGGGUGUGUGUGUGUAGUGGUGAUGGUGGUGUUUGUGUGGUGUGGGGGGUGUUUGUGUGGUGUGGGGUGUGUGUGCGUGGUGAGUGGUGGUGGUGAAUGUGUGUAUAGUGGUGAUGGUGUUUGUGUGGUGCGGGGUGUGUGUGUGUAGUGGUGAUGGUGGUGUUUGUGUGGUGUGGGGGGUGUGUGUGUGUGUGUGGUGUGGGGUGUGUGUGUGUGGUGAGUGGUGGUGGUGAAUGUGUGUGUGGUAGUGAUGGGGCAGGCUGAGGGCUGAGCCAGAGAAGGCAUGGAGAUGAGACAACUCCAGAGGGUAUGUAAGGGGAGGUGAGUGGUGGGAGGUGAGCUAGGAAGGCAUUUUUAAUGUUGACCCAUACUCUCUAAUCAAGACAAUGACAGUUUUGCAGCUGUUCCUCUUCCUAAGCUCAUGUGAGGAUUUUGGGUUAGAAUCACUGUGUUCUUCUCCGCAGGCCGAAGCUCCCUAGCGCUGGGGCCUCCACUCUGGGAAGGGCCCUGUGGGUGAAUCUCUGAGCGUUUACUGGGCUCCUUCUCUACCUGGGCUGCCGCACCCAGAACAGUUCUUAGAGUUUCCAGCCUCCUGAGCUCGCGGAAUAGCAAAGGUGGGUUCUACUGGACUUGGGGCAGAGGAGGUCUAAAUGUGAGAAUCCCUGAGGCAAAUGUUAGAAGAAAGGGCAGUGCGGCCGGGCAGGGGAUCUCCAGCUCUCUCACAAUGCAUGGCUGCCCUGGCUAGAUCUGGGCUGUGUGGAGCUGUUUAAACAACGAACAAGGGGCCAGGCACGGUGGCUCACGCCUGUAAUCCCAGCACUUUGGGAGGCCAAGGCGGGAUGGAUCACCCGAGUUCAGGAGUUUGAGACCAGUCUGGCCUAUGUGG
rnacentral:lncRNA from 1 species